rnacentral:rRNA from 1 species
GACGAACGCUGGCGGCGUGCUUAACACAUGCAAGUCGAACGGAAAGGCCCGGCUUUUGUGGGGUGCUCGAGUGGAGAAGGGGUGAGUAACACGUGAGUAACCUGUCCUUGAAUUUGGGAUAACUUCAGGAAACUGGGGCUCAUAUCGGAUAGGAGAUCCUGCUGCAUGGUGGGGGUUGGAAAGUUUCGGCGGUUGGGGAUGGACUCGCGGCUUAUCAGCUUGUUGGUGGGGUAGUGGCCUAACAAGGCUUUGACGGGUAGCCGGCCUGAUAGGGUAACCUGCCACGUUAGGACUGGGAUACGGCCCAGACUCCUACGGGAGGCAGCAGUGGGGAAUAGUGCACAAUGGGCUGAACCCUGAUGCAGCAACGCCGCGUGCGGGAUAACGGCCUUCGCGUUGUAAACCGCUUUCGCCUGUGACGAAGCGUGAGUGACGGUAAUGGGUAAAGAAGCACCGGCUAACUACGUG